GUGCCCGUAACUCAGUGGUAGAGUGUGAGAUUGCAACGAGUCUUCGGGCGUGCUUGUAUCAUCUUGAAGCCCCGUGUUCGACCCACGGCGGGCACU